rnacentral:pre_miRNA from 11 species
GGACUUGCCUCCUUGCAUAGUGUGUGUGUGUGUGUGUGUGUGUGUGUGUGGCAUUCAGGCCCAGGAAGCGCAUGUACCUGCCUACAGCUGAUCAC